rnacentral:rRNA from 1 species
UACAGAGGUCUCAAGCGUUGUUCGGAUUCAUUGGGCGUAAAGGGUGCGUAGGCGGCGCGGCAAGUCGGGUGUGAAAUCUCGGAGCUUAACUCCGAAACUGCAUUCGAUACUGCCGUGCUUGAGGACUGGAGAGGAGACUGGAAUUUACGGUGUAGCGGUGAAAUGCGUAGAUAUCGUAAGGAAGACCAGUGGCGAAGGCGGGGCUCUGGACAGUUCCUGACGCUGAGGCACGAAGGCCAGGGGAGCAAACGGG